GCCAGGCGUGGUGGCGCACGCCUGUAGUCCCAGCUACUUGGGAGGCUGAGGCAGGAGAAUUGCGUGAACCCAGGAGGCAAAGGUUGCAGUGAGCCGAGAUCGCACCACUGCACUCCAGCCUGGGUGACAGUGCAAUACUCUGUCUAAA
ensembl:misc_RNA Metazoa_SRP Metazoan signal recognition particle RNA